CCUACGGGUGGCAGCAGUGAGGAAUAUUGGUCAAUGGGCGUAAGCCUGACCCAGCCACGUCGCGUGAGGGAUGACGGUUCUCUGGAUUGUAAACCUCUUUUAUAAGGGGAUCAAGUGCGGCACGUUUCCCGUUUUGUCUGUACCUUAUGAAUACGGAUCGGCUAACUCCGUGCCAGCCGCCUCGGUAAUACGGAGGGUCCGAGCGUUAUCCGGAUUUAUUGGGUUUAAGGGGUUCGUAGGCGGCUUUUUAGUUUGCGGGGAAAGUUUGUGGCUCAACCAUCGAAUGGCCGUUGAAAAUGGGAGGCUUGAGUAUGUGUGAGGCAUGCGGAAUGCGUGGUGUAGCGGUGAAAUGCAUAGAUAUCACGCAGAACCCCGAUUGCGAAGGCAGCCUGCCAAGCCAUGACUGACGCUGAUGCACGAAAGCGUGGGGAUCAAACAGGAUUAGAUACCCGUGUAGUC
rnacentral:rRNA from 1 species